CCAGAAAGUAAAUGUCCACCCAAGAAAUAUAAAGAGAAGGAAAAAUAGCAGUUUGCAAAAGUUUACCUUCAAGAAGUACCACUUUUUACAUCUAUUUGUAAUUAUCAAACUUCAUAUACCCUUUCCAUUUCUUUUCUUUUCUGCAGAUCACUAGAUGUCUAAAAUGUGACCACCUGCAUUUUAGUGACUUUUCCGACAGC
rnacentral:misc_RNA from 1 species